rnacentral:rRNA from 1 species
CACAAGCGGAGGAACAUGUGGUUUAAUUCGAUGCAACGCGAAGAACUUACCAAGGCUUGACAUGCCAGAAGUAGGAACUCGAAAGAGAGACCACCUGUAUCCAGUCAGGAACUGGCACAGGUGCUGCAUGGCUGUCGUCAGCUCGUGCCGUGAGGUGUUAGGUUAAGUCCUGCAACGAGCGCUACCCUCGUCGCUAGUUAAUUUCACUAGCGAUACUGCCGUAAACGAGGAGGAAGUGGGGAUGACGUCAAGUCAGCAUGGCCCUUACGCCUUGGGCUACACACACGCUACAAUGGGUGAUACAACGGGGUGCGAAAGAGCAAUCUGGAGCUAAUCCCUAAAAAUCAUCCUCAGUUCGGAUUGCAGGCUGAAACGGCCUGCAUGAAGUUGGAGUUGCUAGUAACCGCAGGUCAGCACACUGCGGUGAAUACGUUCUCGGGCCUU